GAUGAACGCUGGCGGCGUGCCUAAUACAUGCAAGUCGAGCGAACGGACGAGAAGCUUGCUUCUCUGAUGUUAGCGGCGGACGGGUGAGUAACACGUGGAUAACCUACCUAUAAGACUGGGAUAACUUCGGGAAACCGGAGCUAAUACCGGAUAAUAUUUUGAACCGCAUGGUUCAAAAGUGAAAGACGGUCUUGCUGUCACUUAUAGAUGGAUCCGCGCUGCAUUAGCUAGUUGGUAAGGUAACGGCUUACCAAGGCAACGAUGCAUAGCCGACCUGAGAGGGUGAUCGGCCACACUGGAACUGGGACACGGACCAGACUCCUACGGGAGGCAGCAGUAGGGAAUCUUCCGCAAUGGGCGAAAGCCUGACGGAGCAACGCCGCGUGAGUGAUGAAGGUCUUCGGAUCGUAAAACUCUGUUAUUAGGGAAGAACAUAUGUGUAAGUAACUGUGCACAUCUUGACGGUACCUAAUCAGAAAGCCACGGCUAACUACGUG
rnacentral:rRNA from 1 species